GUGAGAAUCCUAUCCACCGUAUGACUAAGGUUUCCUGGGGAAGGCUCGUCCUCCCAGGGUUAGUCGGGACCUAAGCCGAGGCCGAGAGGCGUAGGCGAUGGAUAACAGGUUGAGAUUCCUGUACUAGGGUCCGUCUGA
rnacentral:rRNA from 1 species